AGAGAAAGUCCGUUAUAGAUGCCCAGUCCCGUAGAAAACAGAGAACGAUCUCCACAUCUCAUCUGGAAGUGGAUGUCACUGAGUAAUUGGCAUACAAGAGGAUCCCACCAGCAGUCACCAGACCGGGGCCGUUGAACUGGCCGAACCUACCACAUUAAUGGAUCGAGGUUCUGUUCCAAACACCAACCAAACUGGGAAUGCACAGAUGGAGAGGUCACAUCUCUGGGGCCCAUAAGAGGUCCCUAGCAUCCUGUGAUGGUCCGCCGAUUUGCUAAGAACCCCAGAAAGAGUCCAGGCCACCAAGGUGAGCCUACUCUCCAGGAGUAGAAGGUGUGGGUUUCCCUUAGGGUCCGUGAGAAGCAUCGGGUAUGAAGGCAGGAGGAGUAGAACCUCACCAGAAAGUCCGGGAACCAAGGUUGGCUCCGUCACAGCAGGGUGACCAAGGUCAGUGUUACUCGCUGAACACAGAGGUGCUAAAUAGCUCUCACAAUCAGGAGGAGGGAAAAGCGUACGCCCCCAGGGGAGACCCAGCCUGCAGGAAUGCGCCCACCAUUGUGCACUCCAGAUCCAGCAGCCAAGUGAAGAACGCUGAAGUCUGGUGAUCCCUCUAAUGGUGGGAGAACCAAUCUGUGGUGAGAUGUGUCAUCCCCAGGAGGUAGUCUGCUCUCAGGGGGAUCCUGUGAGGGAUGCUGAAAUCAAAGAUGCCUUUUGUGAUGUCUGAUAGGAGAGGGGAGCAGGCUUCGUCCAGGCGAUUGAUAUACCAGACUGCCGACGCUCUGUUCAUCCAGAGUAGGAUGCAACAAACGGAUUAACCAUUCACCAGGACAAUGAGGGAUCCCGUUAAGAGUUCCAGGCAAUCAAAGUGAAUGGAGAAUUCCUGAGUUGUGCACCCCCCUUCCGUGGGUACACUCUGGGAGGUUGUUUCCACAGCCCCACGGGCUGGUAUC